rnacentral:snRNA from 1 species
UCGCUUUGGCAGCAAAUAUACUAAAAUUGGAACGGUACAGAGAAGAUUCGUAUGGCCCCUGCGCAAGAAAAAAAAAGAAACAAUGUUUCUCUCU